GGAGGGCGCUGAUGGCGGGUGUGGCGAAGCACGGUCCGGGGAAGUGGAAGAAUAUUCUUGUAGAUUCAGAGUUCGCUGACAAGCUCGCCAGCCGGUCAAAUGUUGACCUUAAGGACAAAUGGCGGAAUAUGGGUGCUAACCAUGAACAAGUCUCUGGAGAUAAUGCUAUGACUCCGAAAGGAAAAGCAACUGCAGCCAGUGCUGUGCGACCCAGAACUCAAACUUCUUCUGCUGCUUUCGUUUCUAAAGACAGUGUUAAUGAAAAGCUUUCUCAGGGCCCACAGAACGCUAAAAGUGUCCCAAAAUACAAUGCGAUGAUACUUGAAGCACUUUCAUCCAUCAAGGACUGCAAUGGAUCUGAUUUUGGUGCAAUCAUGAGGUUCAUUGAGAAAAAGUACGAGGUGCAACAAAGCUUUAGAAGGUUACUGAGUUCAAAACUAAGGAAACUUGUUUUACAAGGCACUCUUGAGAAGGUUCAAAAACGGUACAAGAUCAGACUUGCUGCAUCAGGCACUAAGACGCCUACACCGAAACAGAAAGGUGUUAAUUCAAGGCCAUUACAAAAGUCUAGGUUGACCAUCUCAGCUGAAACAGUGGAAGAUGCCGCUAAAACAGCUGCUGACAAGAUUGCUGAGGCUGAAAAUAAAUCAUUUGUGGCAGCUGAAGCAGUUAAAGAGUCUGAAAGGGUCUCAAGAAUGGCUGAAGAUGCAGAUGCGUUGCUUAUGCAUUUAAAAGAGGUUUUUGAACAAUUCUUGAUCUAAGGAAGAUUUGUUCAACUAUGUCUGGUAUAUAGGGGAAGACAACGGAAGACAACACAAUUUCUAAAGUUCAGGAGUUACACUGGUCCUUGCGGAUUAGUUAUUCUGUUGGAUUCAAAUACUAAUUUAUUUGCUGUACAUAAGAUCUAGUAAACAAGGAGAUACUCCGUUUUCCGGUACCAGAUGGAGACUAACUUUCAUUAGCUAGAAGUCAACUCGCUAGUGCUUCUGUAGUCAUGAAUCCAAGUUGAGGAACGGUCUUGGGGCAAAGCUGCUAGUCGUAACUUUAAGUUGUGUAGUCUGCCCAUCCCCGUUAACUCUCUCCUAGGCUUCUAACUUUGUAAUAUUGGUUGUUGGAUGACGGCUCUUACUAAUGUUAUGUAUUCCAGUUCAUUCUUCAUCAGUCAUCUUCUGUCUAUAAGUUUCUCGUUCAGUUUUUCUUUUACAAUUAUUUUUUAGUGCACUUGGAGAAGCUUUCUGCUGGUUCUAAAUAACUUCUACAGCACAACCGAGUUGACAAAAAAGUUGGAAGGCAUAAAAUACAUGGUGAAGAGCAAAUCACAUUGGCGAGGGAUUAAAGCAUCAAGAAAAUUACUGCUACCAGAACCUGCCAACAGAAACUAGUGAAAUAAAUUUUCCGCAUCAGAGUUAAAAGGUGCGAAGCAUCUGUAAUUAUUGCCGGAAAAUCAGCCUGCCCGCAAAUUUGAGCCGGAUAGAAGCAAAGAAAAUAUACACCAGAACAGAGGCAAUAUUUAUCCAACAAUAGUAAUUCAUCCCAGUUUCAACAUAAACCUAGUACAAAUGCUCAGUUGCAAAAUUCAUCUAUUUCUCAGUUUCACAUUAAGUUGAAAUGCGAAUCAUGCAUGCAGGACAGGAAUUAUAAGGGGGCGCCAUGAAAAGAUAAGAGUUCACAUAAGUUACAAAAGUGCCCAGGAAUCUUUGACCGAAUCCCAAUCUAUAAAAGCACAAGCCCAAGUU